GACAGCCAGGAUGUUGGCUUAGAAGCAGCCAUCAUUUAAAGAAAGCGUAAUAGCUCACUGGUCGAGUCGGCCUGCGCGGAAGAUGUAACGGGGCUAAACCAUGCACCGAAGCUGCGGCAGCGACACUGUGUGUUGUUGGGUAGGGGAGCGUUCUGUAAGCCUGUGAAGGUGUGUCGUGAGGCAUGCUGGAGGUAUCAGAAGUGCGAAUGCUGACAUAAGUAACGAUAAAGCGGGUGAAAAGCCCGCUCGCCGGAAGACCAAGGGUUCCUGUCCAACGUUAAUCGGGGCAGGGUGAGUCGACCCCUAAGGC
rnacentral:rRNA from 1 species